rnacentral:tRNA from 1 species
GGUGAGGUGGCCGAGUGGUUGAAGGCGGUAGUCUUGAAAACUACUAGGGGUGCAAGCUCCUCGUGGGUUCGAAUCCCACCCUCACCGCCA